rnacentral:rRNA from 1 species
CACAAGCGGUGGAUGAUGUGGAUUAAUUCGAUGCAACGCGAAAACCUUACCUACCCUUGACAUGUCUGGAACCUUGCUGAGAGGCGAGGGUGCCUUCGGGAGCCAGAACACAGGUGCUGCAUGGCUGCCGUCAGCUCGUGUCGUGAGAUGUUGGGUUAAGUCCCGCAACGAGCGCAACCCUUGUCAUUAGUUGCCAUCAUUUGGUUGGGCACUCUAAUGAGACUGCCGGUGACAAACCGGAGGAAGGCGGGGAUGACGUCAAGUCCUCAUGGCCCUUACAUCCCGGGCUACACACGUGCUACAAUGGCAGGUACAGAGGGCUGCGAAGCCGCGAGGUGGAGCGAAUCCCAGAAAACCUGUCUCAGUCCGGAUUGAAGUCUGCAACUCGACUUCAUGAAGGCGGAAUCGCUAGUAGCCGCGAAUCAGCAGGUCGCGGUGAAUACGUUCCCGGGCCUU